GUGGUAACUCAGUGGUAGAGUGCUCACCUUGCAUGUGGGAGGCACUGGGUUUGAUCCUCAGAAUCACA
rnacentral:tRNA from 1 species